AGAGUCCGGCUCAGGCUCCGGCUGCGGCUCCAGCCCGCGAUGCCCCAUUCCGUGACCCUGCGCGGGCCUUCGCCCUGGGGCUUCCGCCUGGUGGGCGGCCGGGACUUCAGCGCGCCCCUCACCAUCUCACGGGUCCAUGCUGGCAGCAAGGCUGCAUUGGCUGCCCUGUGCCCAGGAGACCUGAUCCAGGCCAUCAAUGGUGAGAGCACAGAGCUCAUGACACACCUGGAGGCACAGAACCGCAUCAAGGGCUGCCACGAUCACCUCACACUGUCUGUGAGCAGGCCUGAGGGCAGGAGCUGGCCCAGUGCCCCUGAUGACAGCAAGGCUCAGGCACACAGGAUCCACAUCGACCCUGAGAUCCAGGUAUGUACAGACACUGCCUGGCCUGGCCUGGCUCAGAGCAUGCAGGUUCACCUGCACUGAGUGUCCUCACUGGGGCUCUCAGAUACCCAAGACAGAGACUGAAGCAGAAGUUUUCUCUGGACCACAUCCAUACCCCAUCCCAUGUUCCUCAGAUGAUGAGCACCUGGUGUGGGCUCUGUCUCUACUCCGGGCA
rnacentral:sRNA from 1 species